UUUGACUAGACACUAAUGACUCUUCCAGGUCUCCAGCAUGUAGACUUCAAGUACACGGACUUUUCAGCCUUCAUAAUUGUUUAUUCAUUGAGCUCAUUAAUGUCAAUAUCACCAUUCUUCAGAUGAGAAGACAGAGUGUGGAUGCCGGCUUACUGCCUUGAGAAAAGUUCCCUGGAAGAAGCAGCUGCCCCGGACAUGGUUCCCUGCUAUGGGCCUCUUUCUUCACGUCCUAUUUCAGCUGGGCUUCAGGCCAUUAAAGGCCCCAUCCUGGUUUCUAAUGCAGACAG